UACGGAGGGUGCAAGCGUUAUCCGGAUUCACUGGGUUUAAAGGGUGCGUAGGUGGGUUGGUAAGCCAGUGGUGAAAUCUCCAGGCUUAACUUGGAAACUGCCAUUGAUACUAUCAAUCUUGAAUACCGUGGAGGUCAGCGGAAUAUGUCAUGUAGCGGUGACAUGCUUAGAUAUGACAUAGAACACCAAUUGCGAAGGCAGCUGGCUACACGAAUAUUGACACUGAUGCACGAAAGCGUGGGGAUCAAACAGG
rnacentral:rRNA from 1 species